AGUCACUGACAUUAGACUACCCCCGUAGUCCCAGCCGUAAACUAUGCGCGUUAGGUGUACUGGUGACCACGAGUCACCGGGGUGCCGAAGGGAAACCGUGAAACGUGCCGCCUGGGAAGUACGGUCGCAAGGCUGAAACUUAAAGGAAUUGGCGGGGAGCACCACAACGGGUGGAGCCUGCGGUUUAAUUGGACUCAACGCCGGGAAGCUCACCGGAUAGGACAGCAGAAUGAUUGCCGGGCUGAAGACCCUGCAUGACUAGCUG
rnacentral:rRNA from 1 species